CCCCCAACGUCAGCGACAUCUUCGCCCCCGAACGAAGUUUUCCAGGGGUCGACGAGCAGCUCUCCUCGUCCAGGCCGUCACGGCCGCCUUCAGGACCGACCCCACGCCACGUCUGUUACCCGCUGUCCGUCGCAGAAUGGCCGACACCGAGUUCGAGGAAUUUCGACACUACUUCGAGAGGCUUCCGCAGCAUCUCAAGGCACCACUUUCCAAUUACACGCUCGUUCACGAUGUGAUGAUAGACGAUUCGCCGACCUCGUCGCAGGAUAGCGACGCGGAGGUCGAGAGAUCUUGCGAUGGAGUCGCCGCCGAUUCCGAGGACGAGGAGGUGGUGGUCAUUCAUCGGCACGACAACCAGAGCGGACAUACUUCCGGGGACGACAGCGAAGAUCUCGAUCACAACUGUUCCAUCGUAGCCGAUAGUGACUUUAGGUUGGUAACAUCCUUGUUCGGUGGACUGAGCAGCAGGGGUCGAUCAGCAGGCGUCGGUGGGCCUGGUCCUGGUGGAGGUAGCACUACCGGUUCCGGUAACGGUGGUAGAGAUAGCGUAGUCAGCGACGUCGGGGAUUCCUGCUCGAGUCUGAGCUCCUGGCCAACACCGGAACAUGUGCCCACGAAUCGUCCCGGGAGCGGCAGCACCGAACGCAGACGUCGGAGAUUGCCGGAAAUCCCGAAAACGAAGAAAUCUCUGCCGGUCGGUCAGACAUCGAUGCAGUCGUCGUCGUCUCUGGCGGACGAACUGAACGCAGCAACUGGCUCCAGUUCCAGCCGGCCGCAUUUAGUUUUACGGAAAUGUCACUCGAGGCUUCGCCACGAGGACAGUUCACCCGACAGCGAGCGAAUGGCCACUGACAGUGGCCACUCUACUGCCCACUCGCCGGAAAACGGGCCGAAAAGCGUCUCGCCGAUCCCCUGUAACACGCUGCAGAACACCGACUCUGUCUCGCCAAGUAGCACACCAGGAAGCGGCGGCGUGCCGUUCACUCAGCUGGAGUUGCUGGAAGCGACGCACCGUGGGCUGCAUAAAUUCGUGCCGAGACACCACGACGAGAUCGAUCUUGAGAUCGGCGAUCCUAUUUACGUUCAGAAAGAGGCUGACGAUCUGUGGUGCGAAGGUGUGAACCUGAGAACAGGUCGCCAAGGUAUAUUCCCCUCGGCUUACGCGGUCGACAUGGAUUACAGUGAUUUCGAUCCCUCGGCGCCGAAGGUGAAGAGGGAACGAUAUCUUCUAGGUUACUUGGGAUCUGUGGAGACAUCGGCGCACAAAGGUACCAGCGUCGUCUGCCAGGCAGUUCGAAGAAUCGUCGGUAACUCGCAAGAAUCGCCCGUUUCGCAAAGCUGUAUCUUGGAAGUGUCCGAUCAGGGUCUUCGAAUGGUCGACAGGAGUAAACCACGGAAAAAUCAAGGACCCUGUCACGAUUAUUUCUACUCGCUUAAGAACGUCUCGUUUUGCGCGUUUCAUCCUCGCGAUCAUCGCUACCUCGGCUUCAUCACGAAGCAUCCCACCUUGCAAAGGUUCGCUUGCCACGUGUUCAUUGGUCAAGAAUCCACGAGGCCCGUUGCCGAAGCCGUCGGGCGUGCUUUCCAUCGGUUCUACACGAAGUUCAUCGAGACUGCUUUUCCGAUAGAGGAUAUCUAUAUCGAAUAGAUUACACUGCUGGCCUGUCGUAUAGCAGCUACGGAGAGGAAAAGAUAAAUCUCGCAUUCCUUGGUCCCCUGUACAUACUGCCCCUUAGCUGUAGAUACAUAAAAGAAGAAAUGAUAAACGCGAAUCAAACACCCAAUUUAUAUAUACAUAUACAUAUAUGUAUAUAUACACACACAUAUAUAUGUAUGUACACGUAUAAGUAGUUGUACGUAUAUUUAUAUGUAUAUACAUAUAUCUAUAUGUACAUAUCGAGCAUUUUCGGGAAGCGUCACGACGGGACCGAUUUAUUCAAUGCCGUCUACUGUUUCAAACAUACUCACUAUACUUGUUUUAUUUAUAUUUCUUACUUUUAAUUAAUUAUUAAAUUUAAUUUGCUCUUCGUGUACGUUUUAACUUGUCGUUUCUGUAGAUCUCGAUUGUCUGAUCAUUCUUCUUUUCUUCUUCUUCUUUCGUUUUUCAUCCGUCGCGUCUCGACACCGUCACCAUUCCAUUUCACGCACGAAUCGAAUCCGUGAUUCUUGUAAAACAAAAGGAUCUUCUUGUUUCUUUUUUUUUUUCCUCGCGUUACUUUCGCGUUACUUUUACUCCGUUUACCUGCGGGGCACGGGACGCAACGCACUUGAACCACUUGGGUGGAAAAGUCUUGAAUAUUUGAAUAACGUACACCAAUUACUUACUACAGAUAAGAGUUAAUCGUUAACCUUUCGAUCCUUCGACCAAGAUAUCCGUAUAGCGACACACGUAGAACGAGACAGAAACGACAAUAGUGUGGAUCGUUCCGAUGUUUUGCUUCAGAAAGAAUGAAAGAAGAGAAAAUGAAAGAGAAAGGGAAAUACACAAAGGAGUAGAAUUUUGAAUUUUGAAUUUCCUUUGUCGUGCGCGUUCUGUCGAUUUAUUCGGUUCAAACAGUUCGAGUUUGCUUUUGCUCCGUGUUACGUUUAAAUCGUGGCAACGAAAGAGCACAUCGUUUUCUUGAAGAAAGAAAAGAGAAAGAAAGGAAACGAUCUCCAAAACAAACGCCAAGAAGAUAUUAUCAUCGUAUUGUAUUUAGAGACACACGUCUAUUUUUCUAUCUUUCUUUCCGAAAGGAUCGUUCGUUAUAUAGAUUGCGUUAAUAAACGAAUAUAAGGCUUCAACGUUUUACGAUCUGUUCGAUUCCGCGAUCUCUGGACGAUUGAAACGCACAUUGGCCUCUCUGAACCAUGAUUAUUAUCAUUAUCGUUGUUGAUUAUUAUCAUUAUUGUUGUUAUUAUUAUUAUUGCUGUCGAUUGUACUGCGUUGCAGCAUCUCGCGAAUUUUCAUUGCAGUACGAAUCAGAUUCGCACGCACCGAACGAUAUAAAACGAUAUCGACCUAGAAGAUAUAAAGAAUGAACAAGAGAGAAAUAUAUAUAUAUAAAAUAUAGCGCGAUUAUUAAUUUGUACCACUCUUAUUAUAAAAUGAUUCGAUCGUGAGUCUCAUGAUAAGUCUCGUACGAAAAUUCCUCGAUAUCCUUCGAUGUGUCUCGCUUUCGUUUAAUUUUUGGAGAUCGGUCCAUAUGAAAUGUCGUUGGUGGGUCAACAUAGUCCCGUCAAUUUUUCGUCUUCUUUUGUCUCACGUUGAAAAGAAAAAAAAAAACAAAAUAUAAAAAAAAAAGGGGAACUGUGACGGUUCCACUUUUUUUUUUUUUUUGAAAUCUUCUCCGAUUUCUCGAAACCAAAUAAUUGUUCCAAAUCUGGAACAACGAAUAAACGUGGGAAUUAUUUUAAUUAAAUAUACGUGCAAUAUACUUUUGAGAAGAGACUGCGUACCGUCAAUUUCAUUUCAUUCACAAAGCGACAUUUUAUAUGCCGCAGCUGGAUAUUACCGAUCCCUUCGAGUUUCUUCCCGUUUUCGUUGUACACGCGUAGACAUUUAUUUAUUACGAGUUAUUUAUAUAUUUUUGAUUACGUGCUUGGGACUUGAUCCACGCUGUACACGUAUUGAACAGCUCGGUUACACACGGCAUAUAUAUAUAUUGAAUAAAAAUUGAGAGACAAACUGCAGUGCUUACUCAUUACUGAAAAAAAGAGACUACUUUGCCUCGGUAUCAUCGUCUAUCAAUUAUACGUGCCUUUGAUUGAGAUCGCCUCGAGUAUCGUGCCUUUCCGAUUAUUUUCUCACACAGGUACAAAUUAAUAUCAUCCGCGUGUAUGUCACUCAUAUUAUUUAUUGACACGAAUCUCGAAUUUUUUCAUAAGCUGCAUCGUCGAGUAGAAUAAAGAGGUGCGUGAUGUCAAAAAAAAAAAAAAAAGAGAAAAACCAUUUGUGACUAUCAUUUAUGUCCGAUACCUUCGAAACUUGACUAGAGAGAACGUCGAUAUACAAUUAAUCGAUAUACAAAAGCAAAAAGAAACGUAACCGUUGAUCGAUCAUGGAAAGUGAGACCUGCGUUCUAUCUCUCGAUUUGAACUUAUUCGAUGCUUUCAUCGUCGAGACAUUCGAUUGGGGAUUCGAUUCGAACUUUCGCUCGAUCGACGUGUUUAAAUUAAGGGAUAAAUUGUGGGCAAAACAGGCCUCACCGAAAUGAACAUAUACGCUUCAUUCGUUUGUGUAAUGUAAGUAUACAUUGUACACACACACACACACACACCGUUGGAAACACCGUUGUUUUUCGAUUCACGUAUGAUUCAAACGAAUCCUGAUGUAUGCUUAGCAGAACGAUCGUUUCUUAGAUGAAUGCUAAGAAAAAG